rnacentral:rRNA from 1 species
UACGUAGGGUGCAAGCGUUAAUCGGAAUUACUGGGCGUAAAGCGCACGUAGGCGGCUUUGUAAGUUAGAGGUGAAAGCCCGGGGCUCAACUCCGGAAUUGCCUUUAAGACUGCAUCGCUAGAAUUGUGGAGAGGUAAGUGGAAUUCCGCGUGUAGUGGUGAAAUGCGUAGAGAUGCGGAGGAACACCAGUGGCGAAAGCGGCUUUCUGGUCCUUAACUGACGCUGAGGCGCGAAAGCAUGGGGAGCGAACGGG